rnacentral:antisense_RNA from 1 species
UGUGGGAGCGGGCUUGCUCGCGAAGACGAUGGUCGACUCAGCAUUGAUGUGACUGACAGAUCCCAUUCGCGAGCAAGCCCGCUCCCACA